rnacentral:misc_RNA from 1 species
AUGGAAAUCUGUGGUAGACGUCGGACGAUUCUGAUAUUUUUUGUGAUUUUGGCAGUGUUUUUAUGGCUGUUGAUUUUCCGUUCUGAACUAUGUGCCCUGCACCUGAUCCACCGCACUGGUGACUUAAGGAAGGCUAAGCCUACCGAUUCAAAAAUAUUUCCGUUCCGCUCUCCCUGCGGUUGCUCGAGAAAUUCUGCCGCGUCUCCAUUGAAUACGCAAAUAAAAGUUAAUUAUCAAUGGUGUAGCGCAGAAUCCGUCCAAAGAGAGCCAAAUCAAAGAAUCGUCUCCUUUUCCGUGUUCGGAAAGGCUGACAAAACUGGGAUGAAAUAUUUCAAAUUUUUGCGGGAAAAUGCUGUUAAAAUAAAUCAAUUUUUGCCAGGAUGGGUCAUGAGGUUGCACCACAAUAUCGAUGUUGAAACGCCGGAACACAAACUACUAUGUGAAGUAUAUUGUUCCUACUCAUGGGUAGACCUCUGCGAUGUUAGCAGCCUCUGGAGAACGCUUUCCAAGCGCCGAAAGAAUAAGAAUUUCGAUUUACGGCCGGUUACGGGGGAGCAAGUUUUCAAUCUGAAUAGAAGAAUAUGGCGAUUUUUACCGUUACUGGAUCCUCAGGCGUAUACGGUGCUUACCAGAGAUUCAGAUGCCUUAAUAUCACAUCGAGAAGCAGCGGCAAUUCAGCAGUGGUUGAAUUCCAACUACACUUUUCAUGUUAUGAGAGAUCAUCAGGCUCAUAAAGCUCAUAUACUUGCUGGUAUGUUUGGCGUAAAAACUCACCAGCGGAGAGAUUUGGUCGAAGGCUUGACACGGGUCUUGGUAGUCUUGGGGAAAAAUCAGAAAUAUGAUACGGAUCAAACGCUACUUUCAAAAAUCUUUUGGCCAACUGUCAAGCACGAUGUGAUGGCUCAUGAUAGUUACAAUUGUAUGGAAAACUCAAAUGCACUUCCGACGUAUCCUUUCCCCACGCAAAGAGUGAACAACUCCUUCGUCUCAGAUAACUUUGAAGGCCGCUGGAUUGUCCCAGAAAAAUGCCCAAUAGAAUGUCGACCAACUGAUCAUCAAGAUUGGGAAUAAUUGUUGAUUUUUGAAGAAACAGCACCACCAGCUCUCAUGUCAGUCAGUACUGAGUACUCUUCCCAGACUUCUGCUAGUCAAAUUUUCAACCAUCGUGCCGUUUUGACUGUUAAUGAGUUUGGUGCACAUCCAAUUUAAUGUAUACUACUACAUCGUAGAGAAAGAGACGAAGAAUUUAUUAACGUUUGCCGUCGAAAUUCGCUUUGAAUAAAAUUGUGGCUGCCCUCUA